rnacentral:rRNA from 1 species
UACGGAGGGUGCAAGCGUUGUCCGGAUUUAUUGGGUUUAAAGGGUGCGUAGGUGGUCUAUUAAGUCAGUGCUGAAAUAUCCCGGCUUAACCGGGAGGGUGGCAUUGAUACUGAUGGACUUGAGUAGAGUUGAGGUAGGCGGAAUUGACGGUGUAGCGGUGAAAUGCUUAGAUAUCGUCAAGAACACCGAUAGCGAAGGCAGCUUACUAAGCUCAAACUGACGCUGAGGCACGAAAGUGUGGGGAGCAAACAGG